GGUCUAUAAAAUUCUCUGUUUGCAGAACUGUCAUUUCAGAUGAUAGCUAUGGCUUUUUUAAGUUUGGGCCAUAUUACUGCAUUCCAUUUGUUUGUUUGUAUAUCAAUGUGAGUUGCACAGAACCUGAAUUUGAUCUGGAAUUAUAUGUUCAAUACUUCAACAUGUUUUCAGUUUCUCUUUUAAGGUGAGAUGAGAUGGUAAUUGAU
rnacentral:misc_RNA from 1 species